GGCGGAAGAGAGCAGGGCCCUGGGCAGGUGCUGAGCCAGGUCCUGCAGGUCACCCAGUCGCUUGAGUCCACGAAUGCUGGAGGCAGGCACUGGAGAGCCAGGGUGGUUCAGCCGCAGCUCCUCUGAGCAGGGAGUCAAACAGGGCUGAAACAGACACCAGCUCUCCAGGACCAGCUGGAGUUCACAGUCCAGAGGAGAAGCCCGAUGCUGAACAGAGAAUCACAUCCGUGAGCAACACAAAAGGCAAGGCAAACCCUGGGCAGAUGCCCCCGGGACUGUGUGUUAUGGGCCUACAGGAAGCCUCUCCCAAUGAAAAAGCAAUUUUUCAGCCAGAACCUCCACCAGUGUCUUUCAAACUGUCUCAAUCAAAAACCUCUGAAAGCCACUGGCCUAGAGUUAGAGGAAGAGUUAGCCAUGAGAAAUGGUGGUGACACAGGUUCCAAAAGAAGAAACAAUAGGUAUCAGGCUCAGAGAUGAAAGGGCUAGAAGGAGGACACACCAAGUUCAAGGAGCCUGGACCUGUGGCCUUCCCUGCCUCCACCUGGGCCUCAACCGUCACGACCACCUGGCCUUUGAGGUGUAUCUCGUUUCUCAUCAUAAGAGCUCUUCCGCUCGUGUGGCAGCUGGGAGUGGCCGUCAUUGCCUGCGCAUACCUAAACUUGGUCAGCAGCCAAGUGUUUUGUGAGACCUAAGAAAGGAAGAGCCCCAUAAGUAAAUGGAACUGUUGUGUUGUUUUAUUACCGAGAAAAGGGCAGAAUGAUUGCUAGUCACACGUGAAGCAAGAAAACCCCGGCAAUAAAGCUUGCAGAAUGAGUGGCUGAGGCUUGAAAAUAAAUGGUGGAAACAAUAGUGGACAAUCUUUUAAAGAAUGGCACAUUGCCAAUGCUCCUGAUGGCACAGAAGGUGACACCAUGCAGAAAAUCAAGGCUCUGAGUCAAAGAGGGUUUCAGAAAAAUUGGACUCUGAAUGUGAAGAAAUCUGGGGACUAUUUUAGCCAAUUUGUUUUGCCUAUAAUUUCCUUUUAUGCAUGCAAAAGAGCAAUUCUGACUUUAAAGACUGAUAUCUAAAUAAAUCUAAAAUAUCUUUUUUGUGUGUGUGUCUGUGAUACAGUGUCUCGCCCUUUCACCCAGGCUGGAGUGCAGUAGUGCAAUCUCAGCUCACU
rnacentral:lncRNA from 10 species